CCUACGGGCGGCUGCAGUGGGGAAUAUUGGACAAUGGGGGGAACCCUGAUCCAGCCAUGCCGCGUGUGUGAAGAAGGCCCUCGGGUUGUAAAGCACUUUCAGUGAGGAAGAACGCCUGGUGGUUAAUACCCAUCAGGAAAGACAUCACUCACAGAAGAAGCACCGGCUAACUCCGUGCCAGCAGCCGUGGUAAUACGGAGGGUGCGAGCGUUAAUCGGAAUUACUGGGCGUAAAGCGCGCGUAGGUGGCUUGAUAAGCCGGUUGUGAAAGCCCCGGGCUCAACCUGGGAACGGCAUCCGGAACUGUCAAGCUAGAGUGCAGGAGAGGAAGGUAGAAUUCCCGGUGUAGCGGUGAAAUGCGUAGAGAUCGGGAGGAAUACCAGUGGCGAAGGCGGCCUUCUGGACUGACACUGACACUGAGGUGCGAAAGCGUGGGUAGCAAACAGGAUUAGAUACCCGAGUAGUC
rnacentral:rRNA from 1 species